rnacentral:rRNA from 1 species
AAUGGGCGAGAGCCUGAACCAGCCAAGUCGCGUGAAGGAAGACUGCCUUAUGGGUUGUAAACUUCUUUUAUAGGGGAAUAAAAGAGAUUACGUGUAGUCUAUUGCACGUACCCUAUGAAUAAGCAUCGGCUAACUCCGUGCCAGCAGCCGCGGUAAUACGGAGGAUGCGAGCGUUAUCCGGAUUUAUUGGGUUUAAAGGGUGCGCAGGCGGGGUUUUAAGUCAGCGGUGAAAUAUUCAGGCUUAACCUGAAGACUGCCGUUGAAACUGGGACUCUUGAGUAUAGAUGAAGUAGGCGGAAUUCGUUGUGUAGCGGUGACAUGCAUAGAUAUAACGAGGAACUCCAAUUGCGUAGGCAGCUUACUAAACUAUAACUGACGCUCAUGCACGAAAGCGUGGGGAUCAAA